rnacentral:pre_miRNA from 1 species
CAUAUAAAGAAAAUCGAAAGGGAAGGAGGGGGUCGGGGUCGCCGAUUGGAGGCCCCGAUCCCUCCUUCCCUUUCGAUUUUCUUUAUAAGA